rnacentral:lncRNA from 1 species
UCACCCUGGCAAUUAUAUGAAAGAUAAAAUGCUUCCUGAAGACCUCAGGGCAGACCAGGAAGUAUAUUAUUGGACACAAGGUGGUUUUAACUGAAUGCCACAGCACUAAAUUUAGAGCAGGAAAUGUAGAGCGUCUUAUGCUUAAAAAAACGAGAGCGAGUUCUGCGUCCUUCCUGAAUUUUUCUCAUUAUGGGGACGGCAGUAGGAGCCUCUGCAUUUCCUCUCCCGCAUCCAAACCCUGGGGCUGGAAGCACUUGCCUUGUCAGCGCUUCGGAUUUCCGUCCUCAGCAGCAGCGUUUACCCAGGGCCCCAAGCGGGCGGAAGACGUUACCUGGCAUUUCCAAACACCCACCGAGGAAACUCAACACAUGUUAAGUCGCCUCAAAGGAACUGGCAUCUGAUGUGAGGGGGGCAGCACUGGUAACAAAGAAACUAGAAUUUUCUAAAGAGCCCAAGGUACCUAUUGAGGCGAUGAACUCGACAAAACCAAAAGAAGUAAUUUGAAACCACAAUUGAAUGCAACGUCUUCUGUUUCCUAAGAGAGAAUAAAACGUCCUUUGUUUGGCAAAGUUGACUUGACGGAUCCACUUGGGUUUGGCGAGUAAGGCCUCAGGGCGUGGUGUGAAAGUGGGCAGUAAAACAAAGGGGCAACUGAACCCUUCUGCAAAAGACGCCAGUGGCCACGAGGGGCUGAGGUUGAGCGCAGGAAGGGGAGGGGGAGAGUGCGGCCUCUGGGGAGAGAAGGGAGGGGGACAGCGAGAGAAGGUGACCACGGAGAAGUUCUCUGUUCUCCGAGGCCGGGACACGUGUCAAGUUCAGGCUGGAGACCUGCUGUGCUACCGUGUAGGCCUCUGGCCUGUCGCCCAGUCAGUGUGCUUGCUGGAAGCAGCAGUGCAAAACCAGAGGUAACCAGAAGUACUCUAUCAACACCCACCCUAAGUCCCAGGAUCUCCGGAGAGGUUGGGAGGAAUCCUCACUGACAGACGAGGGCCCCUUUUAAGCGAACACCGGGGACAGCAUGAACCCUGACCCAAGGGUCGUGGCAAUGAAUGGGCUUCUCCAGGACUGCAGUGGCAGUCCGCUUCUACGCCUUUUUCCCCCUACUGUUAUUUUUUUUUCAAAGGUAUUUCUUUCUCUGGCAGGAGAGAUUUUUUUUUCCUACUAACCAAGUCUUGCUCUUUAGUUGCCAUUGGAUUUUUGGUUUUUAGGCUGCUUCGUUCCGUAGCCUUUUCUAGCAAUUACCAGCACAGGCAGUGGAGACUUGGGGACCCGUGGGUCUGGGAAUCCUUGCUUUGUGUAACACUGCACCCUCAGGGAGAGCCUGUGGAACUUCUAGAAACUUUGUGGUCACCUCUUUUCAGAACAUCAGUUAUCCACGAGCUACAUGAAGGAGUCAGGUGAGUAACAAUUCGUUGAGUGACUUCAGCCCCGGAGCGUACGCUGGACCAAAGACUUGAGAAGGACCUUUGUCUGCACUGAACGUGCCUCUUCAAGAGGCGGGAGUGAAGGAUGGUUCAUCGGAGAGAACUGAUCUUUUGUCCAAUGUAUCGUUUAAUGCAAAGAAGAAAGAUUUGACUUCAAAUUGAUUGUAAGAAUGUGGGCUUUGACUUACAUGUCCAUAAACAGGCUUAUCUGUUAGAAAAAGUUUGCAGAACCUGAGAAAUUAGAAACUCUCUUGGCGACUGCUAAAGGAACGUUUGUGAGCUGAUUAUUAAGUUGGUAUCCAGAGAAAACUACAGAACCAGUUUAAAGGCUUGGUUGUCUUACGUGGUAGGAUGCGCUGCUCUUCUUGGGUCCUCUUCCUUGGGGAUCUUGGUUUACGACUCUUGACAAAGAAUGCUCGUUCAGUAGAGCCCCACAGAGCUAAAUAUAGGAUCAUGUGGCCGACAGAAUGAGGUCCCCCAAAUGUCUGUGUCCUUCGACAGCAUCAUGUGAAUGUUUGGGUCCUCCCUCCAAAUCCCAAGUGCCACUGAAUUGCCAGCUCUCGUUGCUCUCUGAUGGCCACGAUUCCCUGAUAGAUGAAAUGAUGAUGGGACUUCCUUGGAAUCAUAGGUCGUCGUAAGCCGUGAUAUCAUUCAGUGACUUCCAGAUGCUGAGCAACGAUGGUCCAUGCGCAAGGAGUUGCCACGGCUUAUCUCCCCUUGCUUUGUCCCAGUUUUGUGUGGAGCUUAUUUCCGGAAGAAAUAGUAACCUCGCCUUCUACAGCAGCCGGAUUCUGAGAUCUUUGGACAAUAUUCCAAGAAAGGAGUCUGUAAUUCUUCCUACUGACGUGGGAGCGGUCAGCGACUUCUGCCAAGCUCCCAGAAAAAAUCAAGAACCAUGGUCCUUCUGAAGUUCUUUCUCUCCUAAGCAUGGAAGGAAUAUCCAGGGGUCGAGAGAGCACUCCUGCUUCCCAUGACCACAGGUAGGAGAAGCGGACAGGUGCCAACAACAGAUCCUUGAGCAAAGCAGGCAGCGUUCCGUCUGCCACCUCCCUUGGCGUCCGUGUGGCUGCCACGCAGGCAAUCUUGGCGUCCGAGCCACAGACCUAUACAAAACUAAUUGUUCAUGUGAUUUUCUUUCUGAGCCACUGCAGAUGUCCCUUUCUGUAACAAUUUAAUUAACACUUUAAAAUAAUGAUGCAUUAAUUAAUGCCAAAUUACAAUGAAAAUCCUGGAGAAUUACACUUUAUAUCAACAUUAAUGCAAAAUGAGUUCCUCCUGGAUAAUUUUUCUUACAAUGAAUACAAAAAGAGAUAAUACUAAUUAGGCCAUCAAUUUAAAUUUACCAUAAUUUCAAUCCAUGUCAUUUAUCGGUUUCCCAGCACAAAACAAUUCCAGUCUGCCACACGUUAAUGCUGCAGUAGGGCUGUCUGCACACAUAGCAGCUAGACCUGGGCCAGCUCUGGGGUGUCAUGAGAUGGGCCUGAAAUUUGUAUCUUGGUUAUUGAAAACGGUGUGUGUGUGUGUGUGUGUGUGAGAGAGAGAGAGGGAGAGGGAGAGGGAGAGACAGAUGGAGAGAUGGAGAGAGAGAGAGAUGCAACUCUCCAAUACAACAAAAUGCCCUGACUUGAACAAAGUUACAUCCUCCACCUGCUAACACGCGUGGCAUAAGUCACCAGGCUGCCUAUGAAGCUGCAUACAGUUCAGUGUAUUUUUCACUCUUGGGGUCAGGACCCAGGAGUUAGAAGACCUGUCAAAUCUCCAGGGCCCUUUGUUACGGAGCAGACCCAAAGCGCCUCUUGCCAUGUUCCAAGGAGCCGCGACCGCACCUGUUCCGUUGCGCCUUCGUCACUUCCGCCGAGGAGAUGCUCGUUUCAGAGCGAGGACGAGAGGGAGGCGCCCACGCGGUCGCACUGCUCACUCCGGGGGAGGACGCGGCCGUGCCGCUGCCACCGCGUCUGCUUUCUCGCCCCGUGACCGGCUCCUUCGUUCUGCCUGUUGAGACUCACUUGUAUCUAGAACGUUCAGAAUCUAUAGGGCAUUUUGCUCCUGAGUCAGAACGCCCUUGACUAAAUAUUUGCGGAGACCCUUAGGUCUUUUAUUCUUCUGGAAGUCUUUCAACAGAAAAGAGCUUCUUGGGGCACAUCCCUUCAGGGCUUGAUCUUAAAUACUUUCUUAUGGCAAGGACCGCAAGAGGAUGGAUUUCCACCUCUCGUAGUUGGGAAUCCUGACAUGUAAUUUGCUAAAAUGCCAUGAAAAGUAUAUUCAGUAAAAUGGCCAAUUACAGUGACGAGGUGGAUAUGGAAAUUCACUGAGAAAACAGAGAAUCUUCCAACAGUAAGAAUCCCUCACUUCGGGAGGGAAGCAUCAGACCGUGGUUGUGCUCUAUAUGCCUCUGGGGCGUUUUCCUGGAUCUGUUGCUCACUCCUCCGAGCAAUUUGAGUCGUCCCCAUGCCCGUCUUGAAGACUUCUUUUCCCGCGUAUUAAAUGACAAGAAAAAUUUGGCUUUCGAUCGUUUGGUUUUCCCAUGUUCUAAGUCAGCAGUGGAAAUUUCUGCUGGCCCAGGUGUUCUCAAAGAAAGUAGGCAAUGGGCCUAAAUGAAGUCUGGCAGAAAGAAAUUAAUUUUAAAAAAUCAAUAAGCUCUGCCUUUGUUUUUAUUCAGCUUUAGGGGAAUACAUAUCAGUGACAUUUACCUUGGACUACGUCUCCAUGCCUGAAAUAACAAGAGCAUGUCAGAGCGAAUCGGGGGCAUGGUGAUCCAUUCCGCCUCCUCCGCCUGGUCGACUGCCAGGUGGUGGGUGAUGAAGACAGUUGAAAAGGACCUUGCAGGGCUCCUUGGUCUCCUGCAGCAUCCUUCAACCAAGGCAUCUCCCAGAGGCAUCAAAACGAUGGAAUUCAACACGUGCUCCCUGGCUGCACCUGUAGGGUUUUUCAUGAAGGUGGUAAAAUCCACCAACUAGUUCAUCCCACAUGCCAUUAAUUAUAUGCUCGAGUUUACUCAUAAAUAGCACAUCUUCCUAGCUUAGCCCAGUGCCCAAGUCGUGUUUGUUUGUUUGUUUGCUUCUGCCAGUCCUUAUUUUCUCUCCUUACUCCAUUCUCCUAUGAGGAAAUACUAGUAAAAGACUAUGCAGAUUGAGGAGCAUUCUGAAAGGGACCUGUUAUACAAAGAUAUGGAUGUGUCACGCUGCUGGGAGAUGACUAUUUUCAAGUCUGUUUUUCUAAUGGUCUCUCAGGAAGGUUAUUUUACAAAGAACCUAUGUAGGUUAUUUCUCAGUUGACAUAAUUUAAUCCUUCUAGUUUUAGGUUUAUUUUGAAAUAAUGGAACGGUGAAGGUGCUGUCUCUCAAAUAAUGGAUUACAUUAGAUUAUAAAUAGUGACUUUACAGAGAAAAAAAUGAGCCUCCUCAUUAAAUAAUUUUCCCGAUUUUCUUCACCCCCAUGCAUCAAAAUACAGAACCAGCAGGAACCAUUAGGUCCUAGUGGUUAAGUCUCAGCCUCAUGGAUUGGAACCUCUUUGCCCCAAGACUUCUUCUUAGGGGUUUCUGCUUUGCUACUCUGAUCGCCAACUCUGGAAUUAGACUGGAAUUCAAAUCCCAGCUCCACCCCAGCAAGCUACCCAUCUUUCUAAGCUUCAGUUCUCUCAUCUACAAAGUGGAGGUGAUAAUACAAGUGGUUUUGAAGACUGAACAAAGUGCUUAAACAGGGUUCUCCACAUUGAGUUCAGGUUCUGUUGGUUGAAAAUUCAUUCAUUGGUUCUGUGAACAUUGAUAGAUCACCUAACUAAUGCCAGUCACAAGCCUCUGGCAGUAAGAAGAUGGUUAAGAUAAAUUCUCUAUCCCAAAGAACUUCACAGUUGGGAUACCCAUCCAGGUCCAAAAGUUAAUAAUUAAAAUACACUGUGCUGUGGGGGAAAAACUGUAAUUGUAAUGUAUACAUGUAAGGAUAACCUGACCCCCUUGCUG